rnacentral:rRNA from 1 species
UGAGGAAUAUUGGUCAAUGGGCGCAAGCCUGAACCAGCCAUCCCGCGUGCAGGAAGACGGCCCUAUGGGUUGUAAACUGCUUUUCCAGGGGGAGAAUUUUUCUGUCGUGACAGGAAUUGACGGUACCCUGGGAGUAAGCAUCGGCUAGCUCCGUGCCAGCAGCCGCGGUAAUACGGAGGAUGCGAGCGUUAUCCGGAUUUAUUGGGUUUAAAGGGUGCGUAGGCGGAUUGAUAAGUCAGUGGUGAAAACCUGCAGCUUAACUGUAGACUUGCCGUUGAUACUGUCAGUCUUGAGUGUGGUCAAGGUAGGCGGUAUGUGUAAUGUAGCGGUGAAAUGCUUAGAUAUUACACAGAACACCGAUUGCGAAGGCAGCUUACUGGGCCAUUACUGACGCUGAUGCACGAAAGCGUGGGGAUCGAACAG